UACGAGGGGGGCAAGCGUUGUUCGGAAUUAUUGGGCGUAAAGGGUGCGUAGGCGGUCUGAUAAGUCAUCUGUGAAAAUCUAUGGGCUCAACCCAUAGUCUGCAGGCGAAACUGUCGGGCUUGAGUAUGGGAGAGGUGAGUGGAAUUUCCGGUGUAGCGGUGAAAUGCGUAGAUAUCGGAAGGAACACCUGUGGCGAAAGCGGCUCACUGGACCAUUACUGACGCUGAUGCACGAAAGCUAGGGGAGCAAACAGG
rnacentral:rRNA from 1 species